UUUCUGAAGGAGAGCAGCUUUCCAGCUCAGUUCUUUUGAGAAGUUGGGAAACCUCCUCAAUUGGAUCUGCAAACCAACCGCAAACUCAAAAGGAGCCGG